UUCUUCCUAGAUUUUUCCACUGAGCACUGGUGGCUAACUGACUGGAGGACUGCUGCAGGCCCCUGGCCCUUGUUACUGAGGUCCCCACAUACCUGUGCUCCAGCAGGUCCUGGUUAUCCUUGGGACAAUUUUCUAACAUGGAUCCAUGCCUGAUGCACUGUAGGCCCCUAAUAGCUGUGAGCAGAAAGGGAAAGGGCUGGAGAUGGAGACAAAUCCACGAAUCCAGGAGAUUUUCUAAAUGAGUCUGGACUUGAGGAGACUGGUCAGCACUGAAGAGAGAAAUCUGGAGUCUUGAGUAGAUACGAUUCUACUUUAAGAUAUAAGACUGGAUGAGAGAGAAUGUAAUAGAGAAAAGAUAUUCAGAACUGAGCUCUGGGCACAUCAAAAUAGAAUUUCAGAGGAAACAGCACCAACGAGUAAAAGGAAAGUAAAGGGCUGACGAAGAAGUCGUGGAAACAAACUAUUUCAACAAGCAGCAGCAGCAGCAGUUUGGAGAGGUUUAUUUAAAACAAGGCAGAAUUCCCUACUGCCCUAAAAGCCUCAACUUGGAAAACAGCACGGUGAAUGGAAGAAAACCAGGCCUGGGGACUGAGGGGCUGCUGUGGCUCUCAUCUUGAUAAGAAGAAAGGAUGAGCACCAACUUACCCCAGCUUCUGUCCAUCUGUAACACAUUUGCUGCUACAGAUUGUGUCUGUAUAGAGAAGAGAGAAGACGCAAAGCUCUUCUUCCAGUCCUUGAAGUCUGCAGCCUGGGUGUCUGCAGAGGACAAUGCCUUGUUCUUUAAGAUACCCAGCAUGGCACUGCAGUACAUCUAUAAAAAAUAACAUCAUCUAACAACACAGGGACACUAUCAGAAGAAGACCACGAAAGGUUAUGCCCUUUGGAGUCAAUAUUGAGGUUCUCUAUCACACUGGAAAGAAACAGACCUCAGACAACGGAUUACUAACCACACUUCACUGAAAGCACCAUCAGAGAAACAUGUGACAAAGACAUGGAGAUCAAUGUGCUACUCUGGAAUAUCUCUGCAUUUCCCCAAGACUGUCCUGAAAGACCAGCAAUGGAGAAUAGUUGUACCAGGAGUGGAGUGGUCAGAUGUGUCUGUCUUUGUCAUACAUUGCUAGCAAUUUUGGUUGUUUCUCAAUAAACAUUUUUAAAAUUUAUUUUCCCUAAAUUGUUCACUGUUCACAUUCAUCCAUUUAUCCACUUACUCAAUAAUUAUUUUUUGAGUAUCUAUUCUGCGGUGAAAUUAAAGACCAAAGUAGGGGAUAGAGAAGUAAAGUUGAGAUCACUGGGCUUUAUUACUUUUUAAAGCCAGGGGAUAGCAAUGACGUCAGCUUGAGAAUGAGUUACAAUAGCAACCAGUAAAGGAUAGCACUGGCUUUAAACAAAAAUAAACCACCAGAAUAUAUUUUCUGAUUUAUCUGUGUUUCUGAUGAGGACAUCCGUUUAUCUAUUUUAAAUGAAGUGUUGCUAGAUACCCACCAGUUUUCAAGAAUCUAACCACUGGGUAAAUAAAAGGAAAAAAUGGGAAAUUCUGACACAAGAGUGAAAUAUGAAUGAGUG
rnacentral:lncRNA from 10 species